AUUGAACGCUGGCGGUAUGCUUAACACAUGCAAGUCGAACGAUGAGAAAGAGCUUGCUCUUUCGAUUAGUGGCGGACGGGUGCGUAACGCGUAGGAAUCUACCUAUUAGUGGGGGACAACUUAGGGAAACUUAAGCUAAUACCGCAUACGCCCUACGGGGGAAAGAAGGGGAUCGCAAGACCUUUUGCUAAUAGAUAAGCCUGAGUAGUGAUUAGCUAGUUGGUGGGGUAAAAGCUCACCAAGGCGACGAUCCUUAACUGGUUUGAGAGAAUGAUCAGUCACACUGAAACUGGAAAACAGACCAGACUCCUACGGGAGGAAGCAGUGGGGAAUAUUGGACAAUGGGCGAAAGCCUGAUCCAGCAAUACCGCGUGUGUGAAGAAGGCCUUAGGGUUGUAAAGCACUUUCAAUUGGAAGGAAAACCUCGAAGCUAAUACCUUCGAGUUUGACAUUACCUUUAGAAGAAGCACCGGCUAACUCCGUGCCAGCAGCCGCCGUAA
rnacentral:rRNA from 1 species